rnacentral:rRNA from 5 species
GGGUUGUGAGGUUAAGCGACUAAGCGUACACGGUGGAUGCCCUGGCAGUCAGAGGCGAUGAAGGACGUGCUAAUCUGCGAUAAGCGUCGGUAAGGUGAUAUGAACCGUUAUAACCGGCGAUUUCCGAAUGGGGAAACCCAGUGUGUUUCGACACACUAUCAUUAACUGAAUCCAUAGGUUAAUGAGGCGAACCGGGGGAACUGAAACAUCUAAGUACCCCGAGGAAAAGAAAUCAACCGAGAUUCCCCCAGUAGCGGCGAGCGAACGGGGAGCAGCCCAGAGCCUGAAUCAGUGUGUGUGUUAGUGGAAGCGUCUGGAAAGGCGCGCGAUACAGGGUGACAGCCCCGUACACAAAAAUGCACAUGCUGUGAGCUCGAUGAGUAGGGCGGGACACGUGGUAUCCUGUCUGAAUAUGGGGGGACCAUCCUCCAAGGCUAAAUACUCCUGACUGACCGAUAGUGAACCAGUACCGUGAGGGAAAGGCGAAAAGAACCCCGGCGAGGGGAGUGAAAAAGAACCUGAAACCGUGUACGUACAAGCAGUGGGAGCACGCUUAGGCGUGUGACUGCGUACCUUUUGUAUAAUGGGUCAGCGACUUAUAUUCUGUAGCAAGGUUAACCGAAUAGGGGAGCCGAAGGGAAACCGAGUCUUAACUGGGCGUUAAGUUGCAGGGUAUAGACCCGAAACCCGGUGAUCUAGCCAUGGGCAGGUUGAAGGUUGGGUAACACUAACUGGAGGACCGAACCGACUAAUGUUGAAAAAUUAGCGGAUGACUUGUGGCUGGGGGUGAAAGGCCAAUCAAACCGGGAGAUAGCUGGUUCUCCCCGAAAGCUAUUUAGGUAGCGCCUCGUGAAUUCAUCUCCGGGGGUAGAGCACUGUUUCGGCAAGGGGGUCAUCCCGACUUACCAACCCGAUGCAAACUGCGAAUACCGGAGAAUGUUAUCACGGGAGACACACGGCGGGUGCUAACGUCCGUCGUGAAGAGGGAAACAACCCAGACCGCCAGCUAAGGUCCCAAAGUCAUGGUUAAGUGGGAAACGAUGUGGGAAGGCCCAGACAGCCAGGAUGUUGGCUUAGAAGCAGCCAUCAUUUAAAGAAAGCGUAAUAGCUCACUGGUCGAGUCGGCCUGCGCGGAAGAUGUAACGGGGCUAAACCAUGCACCGAAGCUGCGGCAGCGACGCUUAUGCGUUGUUGGGUAGGGGAGCGUUCUGUAAGCCUGCGAAGGUGUGCUGUGAGGCAUGCUGGAGGUAUCAGAAGUGCGAAUGCUGACAUAAGUAACGAUAAAGCGGGUGAAAAGCCCGCUCGCCGGAAGACCAAGGGUUCCUGUCCAACGUUAAUCGGGGCAGGGUGAGUCGACCCCUAAGGCGAGGCCGAAAGGCGUAGUCGAUGGGAAACAGGUUAAUAUUCCUGUACUUGGUGUUACUGCGAAGGGGGGACGGAGAAGGCUAUGUUGGCCGGGCGACGGUUGUCCCGGUUUAAGCGUGUAGGCUGGUUUUCCAGGCAAAUCCGGAAAAUCAAGGCUGAGGCGUGAUGACGAGGCACUACGGUGCUGAAGCAACAAAUGCCCUGCUUCCAGGAAAAGCCUCUAAGCAUCAGGUAACAUCAAAUCGUACCCCAAACCGACACAGGUGGUCAGGUAGAGAAUACCAAGGCGCUUGAGAGAACUCGGGUGAAGGAACUAGGCAAAAUGGUGCCGUAACUUCGGGAGAAGGCACGCUGAUAUGUAGGUGAAGCGACUUGCUCGUGGAGCUGAAAUCAGUCGAAGAUACCAGCUGGCUGCAACUGUUUAUUAAAAACACAGCACUGUGCAAACACGAAAGUGGACGUAUACGGUGUGACGCCUGCCCGGUGCCGGAAGGUUAAUUGAUGGGGUUAGCGCAAGCGAAGCUCUUGAUCGAAGCCCCGGUAAACGGCGGCCGUAACUAUAACGGUCCUAAGGUAGCGAAAUUCCUUGUCGGGUAAGUUCCGACCUGCACGAAUGGCGUAAUGAUGGCCAGGCUGUCUCCACCCGAGACUCAGUGAAAUUGAACUCGCUGUGAAGAUGCAGUGUACCCGCGGCAAGACGGAAAGACCCCGUGAACCUUUACUAUAGCUUGACACUGAACAUUGAGCCUUGAUGUGUAGGAUAGGUGGGAGGCUUAGAAGUGUGGACGCCAGUCUGCAUGGAGCCGACCUUGAAAUACCACCCUUUAAUGUUUGAUGUUCUAACGUUGACCCGUAAUCCGGGUUGCGGACAGUGUCUGGUGGGUAGUUUGACUGGGGCGGUCUCCUCCUAAAGAGUAACGGAGGAGCACGAAGGUUGGCUAAUCCUGGUCGGACAUCAGGAGGUUAGUGCAAUGGCAUAAGCCAGCUUGACUGCGAGCGUGACGGCGCGAGCAGGUGCGAAAGCAGGUCAUAGUGAUCCGGUGGUUCUGAAUGGAAGGGCCAUCGCUCAACGGAUAAAAGGUACUCCGGGGAUAACAGGCUGAUACCGCCCAAGAGUUCAUAUCGACGGCGGUGUUUGGCACCUCGAUGUCGGCUCAUCACAUCCUGGGGCUGAAGUAGGUCCCAAGGGUAUGGCUGUUCGCCAUUUAAAGUGGUACGCGAGCUGGGUUUAGAACGUCGUGAGACAGUUCGGUCCCUAUCUGCCGUGGGCGCUGGAGAACUGAGGGGGGCUGCUCCUAGUACGAGAGGACCGGAGUGGACGCAUCACUGGUGUUCGGGUUGUCAUGCCAAUGGCACUGCCCGGUAGCUAAAUGCGGAAGAGAUAAGUGCUGAAAGCAUCUAAGCACGAAACUUGCCCCGAGAUGAGUUCUCCCUGACCCUUUAAGGGUCCUGAAGGAACGUUGAAGACGACGACGUUGAUAGGCCGGGUGUGUAAGCGCAGCGAUGCGUUGAGCUAACCGGUACUAAUGAACCGUGAGGCUUAACCUUACAACGCCGAAGCUGUU